GUGUCUCAAAUAAAAAACCAAAGUUUUAUUCAAAUAACUUGCAAUUAUGAUAGAUAUUUUUCAAUUUUAUUUAGUAGCCAGGAAUUUGAAUGUUAAUUACUUUAUCGUGAACUUAUUUCUUCCAUGAAGAAGCUAAUUGAAAAAUUACCAAAUUCUGUAUUUUUGUAAACAUAACAAAAAGAUACAUUGAGUAAAUAUUUUAAAUCUACUCAAGUUACUUGAAGAUUUUUCUUUAUGAGAGGUUACAAAAAUUAAACAAAUUCACAUUUCUAACAAAGAACAACAUAUUCUCUCUACAAAUAUAUACAUUGUAUAAUGUAAUACUAAGUCUAAAAAGAUUUGCAAGGCAUGGUGGCUCACACCUGUAAUCCCAGCACUUUGGGAGGGCAAGGUAGGAGGAUUGCUUGAGGCCAGGAGUUCAAGACCAGCCUGGGAAACACAACGAGACCCUGUAUCUGCCAAAAAAAAAAAAAAAAUUGACCAGCCAUAAUGGCAAUGGCCUGGGGUUCCAGCUACUCAGGAGGCUGAGGUGGGAGGAUUGCUUGAACCCCAGAGUUUGAGGCUGCAGUGAGCUAUGAUCACGCCACUGCACUCCAGCGUGGAAAAAACAGUAAGACCCUGUCUCAAAAAAAAAAAAAAAAAAAAAAAAAAAACCCUAGGAAGAUAAAUUUAAGCUACUGGUUAUUUUUAAAAUAAUUAGUCACAAUAUUUUUCUAAGGAAAUAAAGCUCUUUUGAAACAACUAAUAUUCUGAUUUACUCUAAUUUGCCUUGCCCAUGUCAUCAAAACACUUUUGUUAUAGAAGGACUACAAAAGGCUCUCAUAACUAAUAGUCUUAUUAGAAAUGUUUUAAUGCAUAGAAGUAGUCAUUUAAAGGAAAAUGAAGACUUUUAUGCCAAAAGAAUGUUGAAUUGAUAUAAAUGGAAAAAGUAGAACAAGGUUUCCCUGUAUUUACAUUUGGAUAAAAUCAAAGAAGAAUAUAAGUUCCAUGAGGGCAUGCAUUCUAUCUACUUAGUUUACUACUGAAUCUCAGAGCCCAGAAAAAUAUUUGAAAUAUGCAAGGUGCUUUACACAAAUACUUGUUCAUAAGAUCCAGGAUUGACAGUGCCCUGGUGCCUGACGGUGGCAAACAAAUAUCCUUUCUGGAAAAAGAUAACAUUGUCCAAGUUUUCAAAUUAUUUCUACAAACCCUAUUUCAAUAUUUCCUACACAUAAUAAAAUACAUCCAGGCAGAUAAAUAAAUUGCAACACAAGCGACAGGAGACACAGAAGCACAGGUACUACAGAUAACUGGAAAUAAAAAAAUAACAGAUAAAUUUGCAAAUUUGUAAUGAACUCUCAACUCAGAAUUAUAUAGUCAAUUAAAAUAUUGUUCAAUAACCAGGUUAAAUAAAUAAAAUGUAAUAUAGCAGGUCUAAAAAAUAACCAAAUAAAAUCCUAUAAUAGAUAAAAUAAUCUAAACCAUUUAAUAGAUGUUAUAGUGGAAAAGCUAGAUUUACUGAAACAGUAUUUGGUUAAAACAAGUAAUAUGCUGAGAGAUAUGUUAGAAGAAACUAUCCAGAAUUAAGACAGUCAAAAGGACACAAUAUAGAAAUCUGAGUAGAAAACAAUAAGAGAGGAUGAGAAGGUCUAAUAGAAGAGUCAUGAAUGGAAAGAAUAAGAAGAAUUAGGCAAAGCAAUAUUCAAUAAAUGUUAUGAUCUGAAUGUGUCCCUCCAAAAUUCAUGUUACAACCUAAGACCCAAUGUGGUAAUAUUAAGAGGUGGGGUCCUUUGGAAAGUGAUUAAGUCAUGGUGGCUCUGCUCUCGUAAAC
rnacentral:lncRNA from 1 species